rnacentral:rRNA from 1 species
UACGUAGGGUGCGAGCGUUGUCCGGAAUUAUUGGGCGUAAAGCGCGCGUAGGCGGUUAUCUAAGUCGGAUGUGAAAGCCCUCGGCUUAACUGAGGAAGUGCACCCGAAACUGGAUAGCUAGAGUACGAAAGAGGGUCGCGGAAUUCCCGGUGUAGAGGUGAAAUGCGCAGAUAUCAGGAGGAACACCGAUGGCGAAGGCAGCUCGCUGGGACGGUACUGACGCUGAGGCGCGAAAGCGUGGGGAGCAAACAGG